rnacentral:hammerhead_ribozyme from 1 species
AUCCAGCUGACGAGCCGCAAACAGGAGGAAACGCGUUUCCUGGAU